rnacentral:rRNA from 1 species
CAGCCGCCGCGGUAAUACGUAGGUGGCAAGCGUUGUCCGGAAUUAUUGGGCGUAAAGGGCUCGCAGGCGGUUUCUCAAGUCUGAGGUGAAAGCCCCCGGCUCAACCGGGGAGGGUCAUUGGAAACUGGGAAACUUGAGUGCAGAAGAGGAGAGUGGAAUUCCACGUGUAGCGGUGAAAUGCGUAGAGAUGUGGAGGAACACCAGUGGCGAAGGCGACUCUCUGGUCUGUAACUGACGCUGAGGAGCGAAAGCGUGGGGAGCGAACAGGAUUAGAUACCCGUGUAGUCCCUGUCUCUUAUAC